GAAUAUGAGGGUGAUUUGACUGUGUGACAUGUCACCCCACUAUUUUCCAGGGUUGAUUCAGUUGGUCUGGCUCUCUAGGUAGGUGUCCCCUUCUUCCCUCACCUCUCUGUGUUCAUCCUCCUGAGUUUGCAUGCUCUGUGGAACAGGAUGACAUUCCCCUAUAGAGGAGAUCCAGUCUUUGGUGAAGAACAUAUGAGUAGUUGUGUUGCCGGUUAUAACCUCCAAGCACACUCUCAAAGAUGCAGUAAUUUGAUAUUUCCAUACUGAGGGAUGAUGGAAGAAAACAUUAAAAGAUUUUGGCUUCUACAAUUAAACCUUUGUAUU
rnacentral:snRNA from 1 species